AGUGGUGUCGCCGUGGACGACUGUCGACGACAGAUGGCGUCAAAAAGGCUUCGGUCAAACGUUGACGUAGUGGGCGGCAUCAACGAGUUACUGAACCUUCCGGUCCGCUCUCCGCCGCACGGGGAGGAACGCCUCGACACUACAUCGUUCAGUUGUCAGCCGAACUCGUUCGUGCGAGUCACAGAGACCGACGAUAUGCGCCCUUCUGCGUUGAAGCGCCUUCGGACCUCUGAAUCGUCCGCUGGUGUGUCGUCCCGCAGCCCCAGCUCCGCCUCGCCUUCCUCGCCACGCACGACGAGUGACAGCGUCGGCGGCGAUGAACUCGACCUGCUGCGGCGCAAAGACGAGGAAGUGGCCGACAUGGCGCUCUUUCUCGCGAAAACCGUCGGUGAGACGUCGUCGCGGCACUCCCUCGCGGAGCUUGUAGGCCUUCUCGUCCGUAGCGGUGUGCCGCGUGUGGCGUUGGCAUUGAAGCGAGUGGGCGCGCAGACGACCUUUGUGGGCAAUCUGCAUCAGGCGACUUCGUUCACGGGCAAUGAGCGCCGAAUCGCCGUUGCUCUCUUUUCCAGUCUCAUGACCCACGUCGACGCGGAGGCGCUGUUCCAGAAGUGCGUGGUGACGUUUCUCGUCAAGUCUUUGACUCUGGCGGACUGGCAAGAAGCCUCACCUGCUCUUGCGCACCGCAUCGCAUCGCAUUGGUCGGCGCGCCGGAAGCAGAAAGGAACGGCACAGCAACCGCCAUCCGGCAACUCAUGCGGCGUGGCAGACGGCCUCGAGAGCCAAGUAGCGAAGCUGUGCGGGGGUGUAGCGGAGAGCUCUGGAAGCUAUGAAGACAAAAGCUGCGCCUCACUCGCCCUCCGCUCGCUCCUGACAAUCAUGUUCGCCUACAAUACGAGCCCUCACAUCGCUGCCUCGCGACAUCUCUCCGUGCCGCUCCUCUUCGCCAACGCCGGUGGGCUUCAGCAACUAGGCAAGCUUUUGAGCAGCAGGGAGAUGCAAGAGCAUGCGCUGGCGCUGCUAGAGGUCCUGACAGCAACAGAGGAGCUCAGUCUGCAGAAUGACGGACUUUUGGAGCUUGUGCCUACGCUUGUAGCGCAGCUGCGCACGAGUGCGGUUGAAGUACCCGUACUCAAGGUUCUCACGAACAUCACGAACAUCCUGCCGCACGCCCUUUCAGCGACCGGCACUGUGAAGCCAUUCACGCAAUUUGCGCUUGAGACCCUUUCACGUUCGCGGGCGCUCAGCACUCCUGACGAGACCGAAAUCUUCGCCCUUUGCUGCGCCAUCAACGUGGUAAAGUACGAGUCGAAGGAGAAGGAGUCUCCGGAGGCAGAGCUUGCCUCGGCCCUUGUUGCUUCGCAGGAUACGCUGAUGUCCCUCGCAUGCGUGAUGAUGGAGAGCUACCGGUGCAGCAGUACGGAGCAGCUGGUACGCAGUGGCUAUUACGCACUUCUGCUAGGUGCACUCUCGUUGGUGCCUGUUGCCGAAGAAGAAGGUAGCACCACGUUGCGUGUGCCCGUGAUGACGGCUGUGGCUAGGGUGUCGGAUGGCCAUUCCGUUGGGCUUACGGCGGGCCACCAACCCAUGCGCAUUGUUGUCGCCAUCAUUCAAGAGUUCCUCUUGUUUCAGAGCUCGGCGGGGACGCUGACAAAGGAGGCGGUGCUGGAGAUGAAGGCGCUGGUGGACCGCAUUCUCAGCAGCAAUCACAUCGACGUUGCUUCGCACGGUGACCGCGGAACCACUACUGCGGAAACCAUCACCGCGGUGUCGACGGACAAGGACGACGACCUCGUUCUGGGCCAACUGCUUUAGCGUCCCCGUUGACACAGCACAUCUUAGGUAGCGUCGAAGAGAUCGAUGGGUGUUCUCCUGAGAUAACCUGAACAGGAACUGAAAAGUCGCAGCAACGGUGUGCGCAUUGAUUGGUGCUUGCGCGUGUGCGUUAUUUCUU
rnacentral:misc_RNA from 1 species